CAAUAUCUGUCACUCAAUGAUUGCCAGGGUUGAUUCAGCUGAUCUGGCUGACUAGGCAGGUGUUCCUUUCCUCCCUCACUGCUCCAUGUGUGUCCCUCCCAUGCUGGGUUGAAGAGGACAAUCAUCCCUGAUAGACAGGACCGGUCUUUGGUCAAGGUUAUGAGUAGCUGCACUCCCCUAUUAGAACCUCCAAACAAGCUCUCAGAAAAGUCUACCAGGGCUAAAAUGUGGCUCAGUGGUAGAGUACUUGCCUAGCAUGCAUCAAGCCCUGGGUUCAAGU
rnacentral:snRNA from 1 species